UAGGGAAUAUUGGGCAAUGGAGGCAACUCUGACCCAGCAACACCGCGUGAAGGAAGAAGGUCCUCGGAUUGUAAACAUCUGUUGUGAGGGAAAAAUUAAAUGAUUGUACCUCAUAAGAAAGCACCGGCAAACUAUGUGCCAGCAGCCGCGGUGAUACAUAGGGUGCAAGCGUUGUCCGGAAUCAUUGGGCGUAAAGGGAGUGUAGGUGGCUUCGUAAGUUGAAUGUGAAAUCCUGUGGCUUAACCACAGAACUGCAUUCAAAACUACGGGGCUUGAGUAUGGAAGAGGUAAGUGGAAUUCCUAGUGUAGCGGUGGAAUGCGUAGAUAUUAGGAGGAACACCAGAGGCGAAGGCGGCUUACUGGGACAUAACUGACACUGAAACUCGAAAGCGUGGGGAGCAAACA
rnacentral:rRNA from 1 species